CCUACGGGUGGCUGCAGUGGGGAAUAUUGGACAAUGGGGGGAACCCUGAUCCAGCCAUGCCGCGUGUGUGAAGAAGGCCCUCGGGUUGUAAAGCACUUUCAGUGAGGAAGAACGCCUGGUGGUUAAUACCCAUCAGGAAAGACAUCACUCACAGAAGAAGCACCGGCUAACUCCGUGCCAGCAGCCGCGGUAAUACGGAGGGUGCGAGCGUUAAUCGGAAUUACUGGGCGUAAAGCGCGCGUAGGUGGCUUGAUAAGCCGGUUGUGAAAGCCCCGGGCUCAACCUGGGAACGGCAUCCGGAACUGUCAAGCUAGAGUGAAGGAGAGGAAGGUAGAAUUCCCGGUGUAGCGGUGAAAUGCGUAGAGAUCGGGAGGAAUACCAGUGGCGAAGGCGGCCUUCUGGACUGACACUGACACUGAGGUGCGAAAGCGUGGGUAGCAAACAGGAUUAGAUACCCUAGUAGUC
rnacentral:rRNA from 1 species